rnacentral:rRNA from 1 species
GAGAGGACUUGUCAAAGUUUAUAAAAAAGAAAAGGAUUUUAAAAGAGAAAAAGAAUAAGUAAUUUAAAUUGAAUUUUAUAGGUAGACUAAAGUGUAAAGUAUUGAGAAAGAAAGUUGAGAGAAAAUGCAGAAAUAAGAAAAGAGAAGAAAUAAAAAUUUGUACCUCGUGUAUCAGGGUUGAUCUAGAUUGUCUUUUUAUUUAUGGAAGUCCCGAAAAAAAAAGAGCUAAGAUAGGAAGAAAAUUUUUGUUGUAAAAAAAUUUAAAAUUUUAUUUUUGUAGUGAAAUGCUAGUCGUGUUUUUAUAUCUGGUUUUUUCUGAAAAAAAUUCAAUUUUUUUUUUAUUUUGAAAAAAGUAAAAUAAAAGGGUAGGAGGGGAGAGCUUCUUAUCCAAGAAAUGUGUGGAAUAUAGGAAAGUGGGUGAAUUUAUAUAAUUUAAUUAGGCUUAAAAGUGGCCAUAUUGGGAAAGUGUUUAAACUAAUUUUUUUAGUUUUAUUAAAAUUUAUGAUUUGUUUAUUUUGGGUAGGAAAAAGAUUUAAUAAACUAAAAAUUGUUUGUUAAAAUGAUUAAAUUAGUAUAAUUUAUUGUAAAAUUGGAUUAAAUUGAAUUUGGGGAGAAAGGUGAUAAGGAAAGGAAAGUUUAUUUAAAGGAACUCGGCAAAAAAAGUUUUCUGCCUGUUUAUCAAAAACAUGUCUCUAUGAUUGGUUUAUAGAGUCUGGCCUGCCCACUGAUUGGAAUAAAGAUUAAAGGGCCGCGGUAUAUUGACCGUGCGAAGGUAGCAUAAUCAUUAGUCUUUUAAUUGAAGGCUGGAAUGAAUGGUUUCACAAGAAAUUUACUGUCUUUAAGUUAAGAUUUGAAUUUUACUUUUAAGUGAAAAGGCUUAGAUAUAUUAAGGGGACGAUAAGACCCUAUAAAACUUUACAUAGGAAAAUUGUUUUAAAAUUUGUUUGUUUAAGGUUGGGAAAGUUUAAAUGUGUUUUGUUGGGGAGACAUGAAUAUAAUAUGGAUAAUAACUGUUCGAAAUUUAGAAAGUCAGAUUAUAAUUGAGAAAAGAAAUGGUCCUUAAAAAAGAUUAAAAGAGUAAGUUACUUUAGGGAUAACAGCGUUAUUUUUUUGGAGAGUUCUUAUCAAUAGAAAAGAUUGCGACCUCGAUGUUGAAUUAAAAUUUCUUUAUAAUGCAGUUGUUAUAGGAGAAAGUCUGUUCGACUUUUAAAAUUUUACAUGAUUUGAGUUCAAACCGGCGUGAGCCAGGUUGGUUUCUAUCUCUUAAAAAGAAAAUUGAUCGCUUUAGUACGAGAGGACCAGGCGGUUUGAAUAAUUUAUAGGAUUAGAAUGAAAUUAUUACUUUGGCAGAGUGUAUGCAUU